CUGUAAUCUUAAUACCAUUUGUAUUAUAUGACAACACUGCCUCUAGCUACAAAUAGAGUUACAGUUUGCUUUUGAGCUUGUGACAUUGCCAGUCUAGAAUUUAAAAUUUUUUCAACUCUAAAUUUCAUGAUAAAUCUUUUUCUUUUAUGAAACUUGGAAGAUUUGAAAGUCAAACAUAAGGAGCAGAGAAAUUGUUCCAAAAGUAAGGCUGGAGAUGGGGCAGCAAAGAGUACCUGAGUCAUGCCGGAGAAAGGAAAUGAAAGGGACAACAGGCAACACCGAACAAAGGCAGAAGAGACACCAGGAUGGUGAAGGUCAAAGGGCUGGAAGGUUAGAGGUGAUACUUCUGCAUGAAAGGACCGAGGAAGAACAGUGAACUUUCACAGAGUCGCUCAAAAUUGAGGUCUGUGGUUCUGACUUCAGAACUACCCCCAGACCUCAUCAUUACUCAGAGACUGCAAAAGAGGUCUGGGCUAGAUUCAGGUUGGAGACAAACAUCACACACACACACCCAUAUACAAACAGAAGCAGAAUAUAACACACUUCUAAGGUGUUGUGGAUGAUUUCUUUCUAGGAAGGGACUCUGGAAUUAAUUAGAAGCGUUGAGAGGUUUGUUCCCAGGCCAAGGAGAGGACUGUCCCCCAAAUUUUCAAACCAGAAAUGAACUUUAGGAUCCCAGCUUUUAAUAUAUUCUUUGGAUUGUUUUAAUACAUGGAUGUGUAAAAUGAAUUUAAUUUAAUCCAAAAGAAUAGAUUAGAUAGCCUGAUUUAUUCUACUUGAAAUAAAAAUACAUUUUACCAAUUAUCCACAUCUUUGUGAAGCAAAUACCUUCAAAAUCUUAGUUGAGCUUCUCAGAGUACAUAAACUUUCUUAGAGAUUAGCCACAUUUCCUGAUAAUAUCAGGGCGCCUAUAGAUUUUUUUUAAUGUAGAGGUUCUGAUAUUCUCAGUACCGUAAAUUCCAAAUUAUUUCAUUGUAUUCCUCUGAUAUAGUGUAGGGAAAUGUUAUAAUUAUCUCAAAAAAAAAAAUAGAAGUAAAUAUGAACAAAUGGAGUUCUGGAGUUAUUUCCAAGAGAACAUUAACUGCCUGAUGUUUAAGUGCUUUACAUUUCAUGAGUUUAUGAUUUAAAAUUUGAAGCACAUUUAAAGUAGCAAAAAGAGUUCAGUGUACUUUCACCUUAUCAACGGAGUUAUCGGGCUUCUGCUGCCUCUGUUCCACCUAUCCCUGAUUUUCCCUUUUUGGAAGUAUUUGGAAGCAAAAUCCAACUGUUGAGAACUCAGUUCAUACACCUUCUUUGGUGCAAAGUUUUGAAAAUAUGGGCAUUUUCUUUGCAUAGUCACAAUACCAUUAUUACACCCAAUAAUAGUGAAAUUUUCCCCUUUACCUCAUAACCAAACCACAAUCAAAUUUGCCAGUUAUCUCAAAAAAUGUAUAUUUUUACAGUUGGUUAGUUUAAAUAAGAUCCCCAAAUAUCCUUUAUUGCUUGUAAUUACCAUGUCCUGUAAGUCUUUUAU
ensembl:lncRNA